UACGUAGGCAGCAAGCGUUGUUCGGAGUUACUGGGCGUAAAGAGUGCGUAGGUGGUGCCCUAAGUCUGUUGUGAAAUCUCCCGGCUUAACUGGGAGGGUGCGGUGGAAACUGGGGUGCUUGAGUGUGGGAGAGGUAAGCGGAAUUCCUGGUGUAGCGGUGAAAUGCGCAGAUAUCAGGAGGAACACCGAUUGCGAAGGCAGCUCGCUGGAACGUUACUGACGCUGAGACGCGAAAGCGUGGGGAGCAAACAGG
rnacentral:rRNA from 1 species